rnacentral:rRNA from 1 species
AUGCUGAAGCAUCUGCCGAAAGAACGCAUCACCGGCGACGUCUCCAAGACCGCCGGGCAGAGCUCGGCUGAGGAGGCGCGUGCGGCGGAUGCGCUUGCGCUGCGAGGCAGGCUAGGAGGGGAGUUGGGUGCGCCACGCUCCGUGCGAGAUGUGGGCAUGUCCAGCACCUCCUUCCCUCUCCUCACGCGGACCAACUACCCCAGUUGGUCGGUCAUGAUGAAAGUCAUCAUGGAGGCGCGGCAUAUGAGGAAAGCCGUGGAUACCGGUGAUGUCGAGUACGAGGAGGACCGGUUGGCGAUGGAGGCGAUCUUGCGCUCCGUCCCACCGGAGAUGGUGCUCACCCUUGGCGCCAAGGAGACGGCCAAGGAAGCAUGGGACACCAUCAAGGCUCUACGCAUCGGCGUGGAGCGCGUACGGGAGUCGAAGGCCCAGACCUUGUGCCUCCAGUAUGAGGAGAUCCGGUUCAAGACCGGUGAACAGGUCGACGACUUCGCCUUGCGGCUGCAAGAUCUCGUCAACAAGCUCGCAACGCUCGGCGAUCACAUCAACAACAAGAUGGUGAUUCUCAAGUUCCUCCGCCUCGUCCCCAGGCAGUACAAGCAACUGGCCUGGUCCAUCGAGAGUUUGGUGGAUCUCUCCACCAUGAUGAUCGAGGAGCUGGUAGGGCGGCUGAAGGUCGCCGAGGAGCGCGGCGACGAAGCCGACAACCAUGCUAGCGGCGAACUACUGCUCACCGGGGAGCAGUGGGACGCACAGCUUUAG